GUGCUAGAGAAGCGCGCAUGCGUGCUUGGUGUUAGGGACAGCCUGGACAGCCUUGGGGGAGCCAGGGAGGGUUCCCUGGACCGAGAGGAGUCUGGACAGAGGCCUGUAGGAUGACUUGGAGUCAGCUUUUAGCCAUGCAAACAAGGGUUCUUCCAGGCCAGCGAACAGCCUGAGAAAGAGCUGGAAGGAGAGAAAGGUGAAACAACAAGGAUCCCCUGGGACGAGUUGAGUUUUAGGUGCCUGUGGGACACCAGGCCACUGACUAUGGAGUUCUGGGCCCCUGAUAUGUGGGGGCAGAGUUCUGGACUGAUCACCAUCUGCAUUUGGAGGCACAUUUCCACCUCAGCGACCCUCUGAUGGCUAGUUUAUUGACUCUUACAGACAUGUCUGCUCUGAACACUGCCCACCUGGCUUUGUUCUGCCAGCAUGCAAGGGAUUUAACCCUGUGGCUAUAUACCUUGCCCUUUUUAUUAUGUAUUUAUUUUAAAAUUUUGAGAGACAGGGUCUCUCUGUGUUAUUAAGAG